rnacentral:rRNA from 1 species
AGGGUCCUACGGGGGGCAGCAGUGGGGAAUAUUGGGCAAUGGGCGCAAGCCUGACCCAGCAACGCCGCGUGAGCGAUGGAGUACUUCGGUAUGUAAAGCUCUGUCAGCAGGGAAGAGAAUGACGGUACCUGACCAAGAAGCCCCGGCUAAAUACGUGCCAGCAGCCGCGGUAAUACGUAUGGGGCAAGCGUUAUCCGGAUUUACUGGGUGUAAAGGGAGCGUAGGCGGCAGGGCAAGCCUGAUGUGAAAGCCCGGGGCUCAACCCCGGGACUGCAUUGGGAACUGCCCCGCUCGAGUGCCGGAGG